AUAUAGAAAGAGAUAGAAAAAAGAAAAUGAGUGAGAAAGAGAGAGAAAGAAAGAGUAAAAGAAAGAAAGUAAGAAAGAGAGAGAGUAUAUACAUAUAAAUAACUAGUGAACUGUGAAUUUCCAGGAAUUGUAUUCGGUUAAGAUCGUGACAUAAAAAAAAAGAAGAAGAAGAAGAAGAAGAAGAAACAAUCGAGCAUCGGACUCCUUGAAGGACGGUUAGAGAAACGGUUUUCGAUACUAGAGAAUAUUAAAACUGUAAUAAAUCCUACGAAAAGAUCAAUUAUUAUUGUUUGAGAUGAUCAUUGCAAUCUCGCGCGGUUAUGGCAAUGAAUAAAUCGUGUGUUGCAUCGUUUAAAUGAAAUACACAAAAAAAAAAAGAUAGUUAAAUAAAUAAAUAAAAUCGCGUGAGAGUAGAGUCAGUGUUUGUUCGUUCGUUAAGGAGAAUUGUUUUUUCUUUUUUUUUUUGAAUUAGCGUUCUCGCGAAUUAAAUUAAUUGCUAGGUGUGUUUUUAUUGAAUUAUGUAUAUUGCAAUGAAAUAACAUAUUUUACGAUGCAAUGAUAAAUAGAGUCAGUGUUUGCUCGUUUAAAGUUUGGUUAUCGUUUUUUAACAAAUACACGGAUUGUAUUUAUAUACAUAUAUGUGUAUAACAUACAUAUAUAUAGUAGAGAUUCGCGAAUUAGAUUCAGUGUUCAUUCAGCAGUUAAUAAAUAAAGUAUUCGCGUGUUAGAGUCAGUGCAUCAUGGAAGAUAAUCAAAAAACUACUAUACUAUCUUCGUGAGAGUAUAUCGUACUCUUCUUCAAGAUCAUCGUUUCAUCGAGUAAAUCCAUUAAGAUUUCAACUAACAACGCUUGCAAUCUACUCCUGAUCAAUCUCUCUUCCUCUCUUUCUACAAUUUCAACUUAUAAGUUUCGGAGUGUUUUGGAGCCAUCAGAGAACUUCUUAAGUACCAAGAUACGAGCUACGUGUCGUCCAAAGUGAACAUCAACAAAAUUUUCGAUGAAAUCUUACCGAAAAUUCGUGACUUCUUAAUUAAAAACGGCUUGGAACCGAUUAAUCUUCCAAAUUACACUGAAAAUAUCUUAAUCAAUGGUAAGAUCGAUCUUCGAAAUGGAUUUCUACAUUACAUGACGGAUGUUAAACGAUCGAAGAACGUGAUGUUACAAUAUCGAUAUAAGCAUAUAUUUCUCGAGAUACCUUUGAGAUGGCAAUUAUUGGACUUUAAUUACAACUACGAUUUUACGUAUCUUUUUAUAAAAAAGCGAGGAGAGGCUUACGGUCGUGUAGAGGAUGCUGAUUUCAUUGUUACAUUAGAAAUAGAUCUUAAUAAAUUCCAAGUGAUACUUCAAGAGAUAAAGAUCCAUAGAAUCGAAUCGUUCAGAUUGAAAAUCCACACGAACAAGUUAGAUCCUUUGAUGAACAUAUUGUCUCAAGCGAUGACACGUAUUUUUCAAAAUUGUAUUAUAAAAUUGCUCGAAGAAAAAAGUAUUGAGAUCAUCCAGCCAUUUAUCAAUGAAAUGAAUCGCUCGAAAAAAAAUUAUGCAGAUUCUCCAGGGCUUGUAUCAAUAAAAUAAAAUGAAUAAACGGAUUAAGAAACCAAA